ensembl:lncRNA
CAUCUGUGUCAUCUGUGGCAUGGACCAGAUGCCGGCUUGGCCUUGCACAAAGAACCAUGGAGUGUAUAGACCCUGGGUUCGGUGGUCUAGUUUCCAUCCUGGGCUCUACAUCUUACCCGCCGCACGACCUUGAACAAGGAAAGAAAGCUCUCAGAUCCACAAUGGCCCAAAGAAGCGUAAUAACAGCAGUGGCUACCUCUGGUAGACAGAGUCACAAAGCCAGACAUGACAGGACUGUGCUCCCUUACCUGUGCUAACUCCACACCGUAUCCACCUAUGUGGAGUCGAAGCUCUGCAGCUGAACACCUUCCUCCAGGCUGCCUCCUUCCCGCGCAGGGCGCGGGGCAGGACUGCAAAUAGAAGCCCACGUACCGUGUGUCUGGAUAUUUACAAGCUAUAAAUCAAGCUAAAAGCUGUUAAGUAAGCGCCAUCCUCCCACUUUGGCAACUGCACCUUCAUAAUGACAACAUUUUUUUCAAAUAUAUUUUUUAAAAGAUUGGCUUCUGCUGCCCUGCCUCAAUUUGGGACACCUUUGAAGGGCUACCCCAACUCCUGUGCUCCCCAGGGGGGCCGAGGUCUCCGUUGUAACCACAUCAAGGACCAGCUUCUCCCUUUGCCCGCCUCUUGCCACGGUCCUCCUGGAACGUCUCUGGAGAAGGUGCCCCAGGAACCUUCUGUAGGUUGCAUCGUGAAUGGUGCCCCUGGAAUUGUCCGUGGUGCAGCCUGUGAAACCCCAUCCAGCCGCACUGGGAAGAAGGCUUAAAGUUGUAUCUUCAUUCUGCUGUUUCCUUUGUUGUGCAUAAGCAUUUUUACUUUGUUGUAAUUCCAUUUGUCUAUAUAUUUUUUUUUUUGUCACCUCUGCUUCUGGGGUCAUAUCCAAAAAAAAAAA